rnacentral:rRNA from 1 species
CUGAACCAGCCAAGUAGCGGAAGGAUGAAGGUCCUACGGAUUGUAAACUUCUUUUAUACGGGAAUAAAGUAUCCUACGUGUAGGAUUUUGUAUGUACCGUAUGAAUAAGCAUCGGCUAACUCCGUGCCAGCAGCCGCGGUAAUACGGAGGAUGCGAGCGUUAUCCGGAUUUAUUGGGUUUAAAGGGAGCGCAGACGGGAGAUUAAGUCAGUUGUGAAAGUUUGCGG